rnacentral:tRNA from 1 species
GAGGGUAUAGCUCAGUGGUAGAGUGCAUCCUUAGUAUGCAUGAGGUCCUGGGUUCAAUCCCCAGUACCUCCA